rnacentral:rRNA from 1 species
CACCGCGGUUAUACGAGAGACCCAAAUUGAUUAAUAAACGGCGUAAAGGGUGGUUAUAUUUAAUAUGUUACUAGGGCCGAACUCACCCCCGACUGUUAUACGUUACGGACUGAAGAAGCUCAAACACGAAAGUAGCCCUAAUAUAUUGAACCCACGAAAGCUAGAAAA